AUUGAACGCUGGCGGCAUGCCUUACACAUGCAAGUCGAACGGUAACGGGCCUUCGGGUGCCGACGAGUGGCGAACGGGGGAGUAAUACAUCGGAACGUGCCCGAUCGUGGGGGAUAACGAGGCGAAAGCUUUGCUAAUACCGCAUACGAUCUACGGAUGAAAGCAGGGGACCGCAAGGCCUUGCGCGGACGGAGCGGCCGAUGGCAGAUUAGGUAGUUGGUGGGAUAAAAGCUUACCAAGCCGACGAUCUGUAGCUGGUCUGAGAGGAUGAUCAGCCACACUGGGACUGAGACACGGCCCAGACUCCUACGGGAGGCAGCAGUGGGGAAUUUUGGACAAUGGGCGCAAGCCUGAUCCAGCCAUGCCGCGUGCAGGAUGAAGGCCUUCGGGUUGUAAACUGCUUUUGUACGGAACGAAAAGCCUUCUUUUAAUACAGGAGGGUCAUGACGGUACCGUAAGAAUAAGCACCGGCUAACUACGUG
rnacentral:rRNA from 1 species